UCAGAUUUCUUUUAUCAUUAUCACAUCUAUUUUAUUCGAACUUGUCCAACGUUAGCGUGAAGUUAUAGUUAACAAGACUUGAAGAAUAUUCAACAAAUCGGACGUGACCUAAAUUUCGGUCUGAUAAAGUCUUGAGUGAUAAUAACGCCACUAAAGCAUCGAAGGUCUUGCGACAAGCUACAGUGAGUUUGGUUUUUGGGCGUUCCAACACGAGGAAAGCAGCCAAGUUGGCAGUGUAGGAAGCAACAAUGAUCAUAGCAAAGCCUGCCCACACCAUGCCAAGCACUCUCGCCGAGAAACUGCGUGGCGUUCCUAUAAUUAGAAAAAAAAUGUUUGUAAAAUUGAAGAUUAGAAGUGACUAACUUACCUACGUGUAUAACAUCGACCCACACAUCAGCCUGAUGAGAAUAUGGAGGCACUGUCCGUAAGAACGAGACGUGAAUGUUCUUGUCAGAAAAGGCAGAGUCUCUUGAAGAUAUACCGAUCACUGGGAUGUGGUAAAAUCCACUCGUGUAUGAGACGGCUGCCGGAGACAGGUCUCCAGUCAAAGGAUGGGAUACUACGACAGCAUACACCUGAAAGUGUUCAAGACCAAGCCCAAGCUCCGUGUUGAGGCGGUGUCCAGGUGGGCGCGGGCCAGGCCCAGGGCGCCCAGGAUGGUUGCAGCGCGGCCGCAGCGGCAGAGGCG